GAUGAACGCUGGCGGCGUGCCUAAUACAUGCAAGUCGAGCGAACAGACGAGGAGCUUGCUCCUCUGACGUUAGCGGCGGACGGGUGAGUAACACGUGGAUAACCUACCUAUAAGACUGGGAUAACUUCGGGAAACCGGAGCUAAUACCGGAUAACAUGUUGAACCGCAUGGUUCAACAGUGAAAGACGGUCUUGCUGUCACUUAUAGAUGGAUCCGCGCCGCAUUAGCUAGUUGGUAAGGUAACGGCUUACCAAGGCAACGAUGCGUAGCCGACCUGAGAGGGUGAUCGGCCACACUGGAACUGAGACACGGUCCAGACUCCUACGGGAGGCAGCAGUAGGGAAUCUUCCGCAAUGGGCGAAAGCCUGACGGAGCAACGCCGCGUGAGUGAAGAAGGUCUUCGGAUCGUAAAACUCUGUUAUUAGGGAAGAACAAAUGUGUAAGUAACUAUGCCCGUCUUGACGGUACCUAAUCAGAAAGCCACGGCUAACUACGUG
rnacentral:rRNA from 1 species